CUUACGACUGUUUCCCACAUUUACGACCGUUGCGGCAUCCCCAGGGUCACGGGGUUCAAAUCCAGAGGCUUGGCAGCUGAUUCAUAUUUACGACGGCUUUGCAGCGUUCCGGCGUCGUGGGGUCUCCUUUUGCGACCUUCGCCCCUUCCUCGUUUCUCCUUCGGGGGUGAUGAAGAGAGGAAAGGGGGAAACUCCUUGCCCCCUCCCGUCGUCCCCCAGAGGGGAGGGGUAGGGAAGGCAGCCUUGAGGCGGCCCCAGGAAGCCCCUCUGUUCACCUGCGCAUCCCACGGCUCGCAAACCUCCCAGGCCGAGGCGACACCAGAAGGCCUUUCCCUGAAUAACAAAAGAGUGGCAAGGGACCUUCGAGGUCAUCUAGUCCAACCCUCUUGCUCAGGCAGGAAACCUCCAUACCGGGUUGGACUACAACUCCAGUCAGGCGCAGCAGCUGAGCCAAGGCGAGGAGGUGAGGAUGACUGGAGCCGGGGGCCCCCAACGAGACCUCCCUCCCUCCUUCCCUUUAUCUCCGUUCCCCUCAGUGUGGGCGAGAAGACGACCUCCUCUCCAUCGUCCAUACCGCCGGAAGUCAUCUGUCGUCCUUUUUUUAUACACAACGACUUCCGGUUCCGGAAACGCUCACUUUUGGCUUCCGGCCGCUCUCGAGGCGCCGAAAAUGAGGGCUUGAGUCUUGCGCAUGCGAAGAAGGGAAAACGAAGUAUAGGCUGGCGGUCACGUGCCUGUUUCAGAAGGCGGCGGCGGCGGCAUUCCUGAAGUUGCCUGGUCAAAAUUCAGGUGCUUGCUGGCUGCUUCGGACUUACGACAGGGGUGGUGGUCCCGGGACCUCUUUUUGCAACCUUCUAAGAAAGCCAACAGGGAAGCCAGAUUCACUUAACAACACCUUAACAUAUGCUGUUAUUCACUUAACAACUGGGAAGAAAAGUCAUAAAAAUGGGGGCCAAAUUCUGUCACAAUAAUAAUUUGGGUUGCUCAUCCCUUUGAAGCUUGCAGUAUUGAUGGAGGGAGCUGGGCAUCAUGCAUUCCAGAUUAAGCAGAGUGGAUACUUAUCGGAGGAGCUAAGACCAGUGAGUGCUAGUCUGUCCUAGGCUUCCCCAAAAAGCACUAUGCCAACUCAGAGUCCCGGCAAAACCACUUUUAUUAAAUGGAUGUGAAUUUAGUGCAUUCACAUUCAGCCAACAGCUUGGCAAAAACACUCUUGCAAAG
rnacentral:lncRNA from 1 species